UUGUUGGUGGGGUGAUGGCCUACCAAGGCGACGACGGGUAGCCGGCCUGAGAGGGUGUCCGGCCACACUGGGACUGAGAUACGGCCCAGACUCCUACGGGAGGCAGCAGUGGGGAAUAUUGCACAAUGGGCGCAAGCCUGAUGCAGCGACGCCGCGUGGGGGAUGACGGCCUUCGGGUUGUAAACCUCUUUCAGCAGGGACGAAGCGCAAGUGACGGUACCUGCAGAAGAAGCACCGGCCAACUACGUGCCAGCAGCCGCGGUAAUACGUAGGGUGCGAGCGUUGUCCGGAAUUACUGGGCGUAAAGAGCUCGUAGGUGGUUUGUCGCGUUGUUCGUGAAAACCGAGGGCUUAACUCUCGGCGUGCGGGCGAUACGGGCAGACUGGAGUACUGCAGGGGAGACUGGAAUUCCUGGUGUAGCGGUGGAAUGCGCAGAUAUCAGGAGGAACACCGGUGGCGAAGGCGGGUCUCUGGGCAGUAACUGACGCUGAGGAGCGAAAGCGUGGGGAGCGAACAGGAUUAGAUACCCUGGUAGUCCACGCCGUAAACGGUGGGUACUAGGUGUGGG
rnacentral:rRNA from 1 species